GGCCGGUUAGCUCAGUGGUUUGAGCGUGGUGCUGACAACAUGACCGACACUGAGGUCGCGGGUUCGAUUCUCGCUCGGUCCG
rnacentral:tRNA from 1 species